rnacentral:rRNA from 1 species
GUGCCAGCAGCCGCGGUAAUACGAAGGGUGCAAGCGUUACUCGGAAUUACUGGGCGUAAAGCUGCGUAGGUGGUUGUUUAAGUCUGUUGUGAAAAGCCCUGGGCUCAACCUGGGAACUGCAGUGGAAACUGGACAACUAGAAGUGUGGUAGAGGGUAGCGGAAUUCCCGGUGUAGCAGUGAAAUGCGUAGAGAUCGGGAGGAACAUCCAUGGCGAAGGCAGCUACCUGGACCAACACUGACACUGAGGCACGAAAGCGUGGGGAGCAAACAGGAUUAGAUACCCUGGUAGUCC